GAUUAACGCUAGCGGUGUGUCUAAUACAUGCAAGUCGAGCGAAGUGGUUUACCACUUAGCGGCGAACGGGUGAGUAACACGUAUUCAACGUACCCAAGCGAGGAGAAUAACUCUGGGAAACCAGUGCUAAUACUCCAUAGUCAUACGAAAAGCAUUUUUUGUAUGUUAAAGAGGCGUCAGCCUCACGCUUGGAUCGGAGUGCGGCGCAUUAGCUUGUUGGUAGGGUAACGGCCUACCAAGGCAAUGAUGCGUAGCCGGUCUGAGAGGACGAACGGCCACAUUGGGACUGAGAAACGGCCCAAACUCCUACGGGAGGCAGCAGUAGAGAAUUUUUCACAAUGGACGAAAGUCUGAUGGAGCGACACCGCGUGUCUGAUGAAGGUCUUCGGAUCGUAAAGGACUGUUGUAGGGGAUUAAAAAAUCUGUUAGGUAAUGAGCAGAUCUUGACUGUACCCUAUUAGAAAGAUACGGCAAACUAUGUG
rnacentral:rRNA from 1 species